GAUGAACGCUAGCUACAGGCUUAACACAUGCAAGUCGAGGGGCAGCACGGAGAUAGCUUGCUAUCUUGGGUGGCGACCGGCGCACGGGUGAGUAGCGCGUAUCCAACCUGCCCAUUACUCUGGGAUAGCCUUGCGAAAGUAAGAUUAAUACCGGAUGUUGUUAAAAACCCGCAUGAGUUUUUAACCAAAGCUUUAUUGGUAAUGGAUGGGGAUGCGUGACAUUAGGUAGUUGGUGAGGUAACGGCUCACCAAGCCGACGGUGUCUAGGGGUUCUGAGAGGAAGGUCCCCCACACUGGAACUGAGACACGGUCCAGACUCCUACGGGAGGCAGCAGUGAGGAAUAUUGGUCAAUGGACGAGAGUCUGAACCAGCCAAGUAGCGUGCAGGAUGACGGCCCUCUGGGUUGUAAACUGCUUUUAGUUGGGAAUAAAAGGAGGGACGUGUCCCUAAUUGUAUGUACCAUCAGAAAAAGGACCGGCUAAUUCCGUGCCAGCCGCCGCAGUAAGAC
rnacentral:rRNA from 1 species